UUUUUUUUUUUUUUUUCUUCACUUUUUGGCCAUACCUGCUAAAAGUUCCUGGGCCAGGGAUGGAACCCGUGGCCAAGCAGCAACACAAACUGCUGCAGGGACAACGACAGAUCCUUAACCCGCUGCACCAUAAGAGGACACUGAGGGUUUUUCUUUAUGUAAUAAAACAGAUAAUGAAUGCUUAUUGAACAGCAGGGUCGGAUAUUAACUUUUAGCCUCUGGAGAAAUAGAUGAUCCACACGUACUGAAAUCCUUGGGUAAAGGAUUAAUGGAGAAUGAGAGAGAACAUGCUAUCUAUCAGCUCAUAUAUUGUUUUGUGAUGGGCAAGGUUUGACAGGGAUCUGGAUGUCCAUGUGUUGACCAGAUGAUUACUCAUGGCAACAUUAUGGUGGGAGGACCAGCCGUUUGGACGCCUUUUGAUUUGAAAUCUUACAAAUGCACAGCAUCGCCUGUGACGUAUGAGUGUCAAACAUAUUUAAACAUUAUUAUUUCAACAGCCACAUGCCAACGGGACUACUUUUUUCAACAAUUCAACAUUACAGAAUAAGUGGAGAGAGAUUUAAGAGUCCAGCAGUAAAAUGUAAUUUAUAAUUCUUGCUUGUAUCUUGUUUUAAACAAAAACAUGUACAAAAUAUACUUUAGAAAAAAUAGCAGAUAUUCAAAUAUGGGCUAUGAAUUAGACGGGACUAGGACAUUAGUGUUAAAAUGUCAUCAUGAAACUACACUUCAUUUUUUAGAAGUGUAUAACUGAAAUAUUUGAGGGUGAAAUAUCAAGAUGUCUGUGAUUGUAUUUAAAAUUAUUUAGAAAAAAUCAAUGAAGCAUAGCUAGCUAACAUUUGCUGCCACUAGUAUGAAAUAUUAUUUUUAAUAUUUUCUUCAUAUUUUCCCUUUACUGUAUGUUUGAGGAUUUUCCUAAUAAAAAAAUAAAGGAAUCUUCAAUGAACAUCUAAAAUAAUUAACUACCUCUUAUUGGCAUAAUGAAAAGAAGGAAAGGAGGAAAGGGAAGAUGGAUCACAAGUUUAAGGAAAACUUCGCAUUGUUUUAUAACGCUUAACAUUUUUUUCAUAAGCCUUUGGUCCAUAAGUCUUGUGUUUGUUUGUUUGUUUAUUUUGUCUUUUUGUCUUUUGGGGCCGCUCUGGCAGCAUAUGGAGGUUCCCAGGCUAGGGGAUGAAUUGAAGCUAUAGCUGCCGGCCUAUGCCAGAACGACAGCAAGCUGUGAUCUGAGCUGUGUCUGCGAACUACACAACAGCUCACAGCAACGCCAGAUCCUUAACCCACUGAGCGAGGCCAUCCUCAUGGAUGAUAGUGGGUUUGUUAACCACUGAGCCACAAUGGGAACUCCUAGACCAUAAGUUUUAUUUAAGCAUAUUUUCCAUUAGUAUCUCCCUAUCACCAUAUUUCUGCUUUGUGCCUGAGCUUUGGCUCUGCUCAAUCUGGUUAUAUCUUUUCCGUACCACAUGUUAUUUUUGAGAACUUCCAGUUUCAAUUUCUUGACUUAAUAUUUCAAUGCCCAAAUUCUUUAUUAAUGCCUCAUAAAUGGACACUACCCUUGCUUGCUUCUGUCUGAAUAUAGAAACUAAUCCAUUUCAUGUAAGGAGAACAACAGAGAGUGGUAUCUUAUGCCAACCCAAUUUACAGUAUAACUUGCAAACUCAAUUGCAAUCUGUGUUUCUAAAGUAUAGGCUUCUGCCUAAUAAUAUGGUUUUACAAUCGAAGAAAAUUGAUCUCACUGUUCUGCAUAAAUUGCCAAAAGUAGAGUCUAGGGGUAAUCACACUAGCUGGUACCAUUUGUAAAGACUCAGUAUAUUAUCCAAGCUAUGCUAAAUGUGUGAGAUAAAUUAUGCCCACUUCACAGAUGCAUAAACUGAGAAUCAUAAGUCAACCAACUUGCCUAAGGUCAAUUUUCUAAAAGAUACCUGAGUUAGAUUUUUUAUUUCAGCUCUCUGUCUCUAAAAGUAAUGCACUUUUCUUGACGUAAAAGAUUCUAUUUUCAGUUAAGAAAAUAUUCAGUUUGCAUAACUAAAAGUAACAUUAUUUACCAUUAGAAUGAUGGUUGCAGUAUGAUUUCCAAGACAUAGAUGAACCCAUUAUGCUAUAUAGCAUUUUACUUUGUUUUCUGUUACAACUGCAAGUUGAGAAUAGUAACAUCCUCAGGCGAUUGCAGGCCUUUGUCAGCAAGUUUCCAGAGGACUGCACACCAGGGUUAUGAAGGGAUCCUCUAUGAUUAAUGUCACAGAGACCCAUAGCAACCUCAGUCAGAGAUGUGCCUGCAUUGAUCACUAUGGACAUGUCCUGGGUUUAUACUCAGGUGCUCUAGGAAACUUUUGUCAAUACCCUUGGCAUCCUUUAGAAUGUUCUUGCACUUUGAUUUGUAUGUUGACAUUAAUUGACAGCACGACUCAAACAUGUUAUAAAUUACCAUAUGACCCAGCAAUCCCACUCUUGGACGUAUAUCCAGACAAAACUUUCCUUGAAGAAGACACAUGCACCUACAUGUUCAUUGCAGCAUUAUUCCCAAUAUCCAAGACAUGAAAACAACUCAAAUGUCCAUCAACAGAUUAUUGGAUUAAGAAGAUAUGAUAUAUAUACACAAUGGAAUACUACUCAGCCAUAAAAAAAAAACAAAAUAAUGCCAUUUGCAGCAACAUGGAUGGAACUAGAGACUCUUAUACUAAGUGAAGUCAGAAAGAGAAAGACAAAUACCAUAUGAUAUCACUUGACUCUGGAAUCUAACAUAUGGCACAAAUGAACCUUUCCACAGAAAAGAAAAUCAUUGACAUGGAGUACAGACUUGUGGUUGCCAAGGAAGAGGGGGAGGGAUUGGGAUGGAUUGGGAAUUUGGGGUUAAUAGAUGCAAACUAUUGCCUUUUUAAUGGAUAAGCAAUGAGAUCCUGCUGUGUAGCACAGUGAACUAUGUCUAGUCACUUAUGAUGGAGCAUGAUAAUAUAAGAAAAAAGAAUGUAUACAUGUAUGUGUAACUGGGUUACCAUGCUGUACAGUAGAAAAUUGACAGAACACUGUUAACCAGCUAUAAUGGAAAAAAAUUAAAUCAUUAUAAAAAUAUCUUGAGUAUUAAAUUCUAAAGUGCUUCUCACUGUCUCUUAUUUCUUUUUCCUAUCUGUAUGAGCCAGAUUGCUAAUGGUAGAGUCAGAAAAGUUUCAUUAAUAUCAAUGAGAGUUUCUUUUGUUUGUUCCAUCUCUAUAUCUUUCAUUUAUGAUGCUGCUUUUCAAGAAAAGUCUAUGUAUUUUUGUAUGCUAGAAAUUACCAAAACAUUUGGCAAAGAUUUUCGUGAAAGAUGCAUAAUUUUGUGACUACUCAUAUGAGCAAAUUGCUAAGACCAUACAGCAAGUUUUGUACUUUGACCCAAGUGGAAGUUGCCUCCUAUGGAUUUAAUAUUACACACUGACUAGAGAUUAUAACUAUAUGGGUAUCUGGCUUUUCAAUUUGAUUUUAUGAUAUUGUUUCUGAAUCCUGAAUACACAUUUCUGGUUAAUAGUUUUGUACCUUAUAUCUUAUAGACAUUAACCAGGAUUUGUACAAUUCCUUUUUGGUAUUUUAAAUAUUUUUUUCUGAUCUAUUCCUUCUUUUGUGAUACUAACAUCUAUAACCUUCAAUUCAUUUGACUUAUAUAAAAUACCAUAAUGACAAAUUUUCAACAUUUUAUCUAUGUUUCUCACCCAAAUCUAGGCUUUGAUUCUACUAGAAAGUAAGAUUUCCCUGGACACAUUGAGACCUACUGCAAAUUAACACCACAGUUUCUAAAUAAACAGUUUCACUGCUAUUUACUAUGGUUCUGUUUCACCCUAGUAAAUGUAUACACAAGUGCUUUAUCAACACCGCAAACUGAUCCUUGCUUGCAUUAUGGCGUGCUCUAGAAACAGCAAAGCAUUCCUUAUUUUGUCAAGGAAAUCCGAGUAAAUUAUUUUUGUUUUAUUUUACUGUAUUAAUUUAAAAUGGAAGUAAAAUCCUUUCUACAUAGUCAUUUUUGAAUCAUAGACUUGAGUUAUCAUAGACUUGUGUUAUCUUUUAAGUAGGGAAAACGUAGGCAAUCAUCAUCUUACUCAUAAUGUCCUUUUCAAAUUCUUUCAAGAUUUUGAUGGGUACAAUAUUAACUAGUAUUUUUUUUAUUUUAACGAUAGAUAAGUAUGGAGAUAUAAAGUGAAAUUUGAUUGUCAGAAUUCAAGUCACAAAUUGUAGUUUUCAUUUCAUCAAAACAGAACAAUACCUACCCAGCAUGGUCAUUCUAUAUAAAACCACAAAUUAGAUACUGAAAUAUAAAGAACAACUUUCAAAAUUUAUCACUGAAAUGACUAAAAAGGAAAAACUGUAAUGAGGAAUUAUAAUGGGGGAAACAGUAAGAGAAAAAUAAAGAUGGCACAUGUUUAAAAUUGUAAUUGAUUAGGAAGAUACAUCAGUUCUAAAUGUGUAUAUACAGAUUAACGAAGUUUGAAAACAGAGCUGAAACACAAAUACAAAAAUAACAUACAAAAAUGUUAUGUGAAAAGAGUUUGAUAAACUCUUUUAGCAAUUGGUUGAAUAGAAAGCCAAAUUUUAAAAAUAUAUAAGUAGGUUAACAAAAAUAUAGCAAAUCAAAUUGAAAAUAUUACCAACUUGAUAUACUUCCAGUUUAUAGAAAAUUGUAUACUACUUAUUUUAGAGCGCAAUAUUCUAUACACUUUUUCAGUAGAUGAAACAUGAAAUUUAUAAUAAAUGGUCAAAUAUUAGGCCACAUAUUCCAUUAGGAAUACGCUAAUACAGAGCCUAUUAUUUAACCAUAAUCUAACUAAAUUAGAAAAACCUUAAUUUUGGCAUUAAAGUAAACAGGAAAAUUUGACCUCUAAUAAUAGGUGAUAACCCAGGUGAUAGUAGGAUGUUGCAGGAAAAAAAAAGAAAAAAAGCACUGUAUUAGGUUACUAUUGCUGCUGUAACAAACUGCAUUAACAUAGUGGCUUAAACAACACAAAAUUAUUAUCUCAGUUCUGGAAGUCAGAAAUCUGAUAUAGGCUUUGCUGGGAUCAAAUCAAGAUACAAGAAAGGCUACAUUUCUUAUGGAGGAUUUUGGAGAGAACAUUUUGCCUGGACAUUUCCAGUAACUAGUGACAACUUGGUUUCUUUGAUUUGUGGCUCGUUUCUUCAUCUUCAAAGCCAGAAAUAGAUCAUGUUCAAAUUUCUGAGUUUCUGUUUGUGUUUUUCACUGUAGCACCUUUAUGAUUACAUUGGGUCAAUCCAGAUUACAAAAUAAUAUUCAUAUAUCAAUGACUUUAACCAUACUUAUGAAGUAUCUUUGUCACAUAAGAUAAUAUAUUCGCAGGUAUCAGAAAUUAAUAUGUGGGCAUCUUCUGCCCACCACAAGCUGUAUUAAGGGGAACAAUAGACUAAAAUAUGUCUACAUUAGAACGUAAUAAAGCUCAAAACUAGUGAACUGAAAUGCAAGCUAGUAAAUCUUAGCAAGAACCCCAGAAUAAACCUAAAAAUUAAAGGAGUUCAGUCCUAGUUAAAAAGUAUGAAAUAAAGUUUGGAACAUAGAAAGAUAGCAAACAAAGCUCAGCAAAGACAAAUAUUUCUUGGAACAAAUUAAUAAAAUAAUCCUCUGGUAAGGUUAAUCAAAAAAAUACAGAUUUUUUUUUAAAAAAGAAAGGUACUAUAGUUGUAGCAGCUUAUGCUAAUGAAUAAUCUUAUACAAUUAAGUUUGAAAUUUUAGAAGCAAGAUGUAUGUUACUCAAAAAAUAUAGCUGAACAAAAGCGACUUGAGACAAUUAUAAAUAUGAAUUGUCCUGUAGGUGGUAAAUAAACAGAAUCAAUGGUAAAGCCCCUCUUCCACUCUCACAAAGAUAAAAUAAAAUGCUUAUUCAAUCAUUUCAAUUACAUUUCACCAAAUAUUCAAAGUUUAAAUAAUUUAAGUCUACACAACAUUUUUAUAGAAAAGUAGUCAUUUAUCUAUUUAUCUUCUAGUUAUCGUCUGUGAGCU
rnacentral:lncRNA from 1 species